rnacentral:rRNA from 1 species
AUUGAACGCUGGCGGCAUACCUAACACAUGCAAGUCGAACGGUAGCAGGAUUGGCUUGCCAGUUGCUGACGAGUGGCGGACGGGUGAGUAAUGCGUAGGGAUCUGCCUUUGAGAGUGGGACAACUAGGGGAAACUUUAGCUAAUACCGCAUAUAGCCUACGGGUGAAAGCAGGGGACCUUCGGGCCUUGCGCUGAAAGAUGAACCUACGUCGGAUUAGCUAGUUGGUAGGGUAAAGGCCUACCAAGGCGCCGAUCCGUAACUGGUCUGAGAGGAGGACAAGUCAAACGGGGACUGAGACACGGCCCAGACUCCUACGGGAGGCAGCAGUGGGGAAUAUUGGACAAUGGGGGCAACCCUGAUCCAGCAAUGCCGCGUGUGUGAAGAAGGCCUGCGGGUUGUAAAGCACUUUGAUUGGGGAGGAAGUAUUUUAUUUUAAUAAAGUAGAGUAUUGACGUUACCCAAAGAACAAGCACUGGCUAACUCUGUGCCAGCCGCCGCAGUAA